GCCAGUGUGGUGAAAUGGUUGGAGUGCUGGACUAUGACUCUGGAGACCAGGGUUUGAUUCCCAGCUCAGCCC